rnacentral:snoRNA from 2 species
UCUCUGUGUGAUGAUGAAAACAGAUCACGAGUCUCAUGUAAUCCAUUCUACUAAACCAUGUUGACAAUCGAGGCAUUUGUCUGAGAGAG